rnacentral:rRNA from 1 species
UACAUGGGGUGCAAACGUUGCUCGGAAUCAUUGGGCGUAAAGCGCGCGUAGGCGGUUACUUAAGUUGGAUGUGAAAGCCCUCGGCUUAACCGAGGAAGUGCAUCCAAAACUGAGUAGCUAGAGUACGAAAGAGGGUCGCGGAAUUCCCGGUGUAGAGGUGAAAUUCGUAGAUAUCGGGAGGAACACCGGUGGCGAAGGCGGCAGCCUGGUUGGCUCCUGACGCUCGGACACGACAGCAUGGGGAGCGAACGGG